rnacentral:rRNA from 1 species
GACGAACGCUGGCGGCGUGCUUAACACAUGCAAGUCGAACGGAAAGGCCCUGCUUGCAGGGUACUCGAGUGGCGAACGGGUGAGUAACACGUGGGUGAUCUGCCCUGCACUUCGGGAUAAGCCUGGGAAACUGGGUCUAAUACCGGAUAGGAGCCAUUUUUAGUGUGAUGGUUGGAAAGUUUUUUCGGUGUAGGAUGAGCUCGCGGCCUAUCAGCUUGUUGGUGGGGUAAUGGCCUACCAAGGCGGCGACGGGUAGCCGGCCUGAGAGGGUGGACGGCCACAUUGGGACUGAGAUACGGCCCAGACUCCUACGGGAGGACGCAGUGGGGAAUAUUGAACAAUGGGCGCAAGCCUGAUGCAGCGAGGCCGCGUGGGGGAUGACGGCCUUCGGGUUGUAAACUCCUUUCGCUAGGGACGAAGCUUUUUGUGACGGUACCUAGAUAAGAAGCACCGGCUAACUACGUG